rnacentral:lncRNA from 1 species
CCUAAAUGUACCAUGAUAAAAUAAGUGUUAGGAAGUCACUUUGUCACCAGAAACUUUAAGUUAAAAAUACCCAUGUCAACAUUUUAUUAAGACAGUCACUUACAGUUUGUAAAAAGAAUUCUAACAUACAUAAAAGUUUCGGGUCUGAAGAAGCAAGGAAUUGAAAAAGCAUCCCCCCCCUCAUGUACAGACACUGCAGUACAAACUUCAGUUUGUUUGAUUUAGAUUGGCUUAAUCUUGAAGUGUAGUCCAAUAAGACUGAAGACUAGACAUUUAAGGUCCUGGACCAGGUAGUAGAACACUCUCAAACCUUCUGGAUCCUUGGAUUGAUUUACAUCGAUGAGCGACCCAAUUUUUGACGUGGUAAAGGAGAUGUGCUCGUCACCAAUUACUAUUUCAAGCUCCUGGCGGCCCACCCUGUCUGGUGGCGGCCACAGCGCGUCGUCCUCUUUGGUGAUCUCGCUGUCGUCGAUGAUCCGCUUCAGCUCCUCCAUCACGCUCUUGUGCACGUAGGCCUCUUUGCGGAUCAUGACGUCGUUCUUGUAGUUGCUGUUGUUGGCGUAGCGCAGCUUCCCGUCGGGCCGGAACUCGAACUCCAGGAACUCGUGCCCGAAUUUCCCCUUGUGCCCCACGUAGUACCGCAGGUAGAAGUCGCUCGCCAUGGUCCCGCCGCGCCGCACCGGCAUGCACCGCGACGGCGCGUGCCGAAUGCGUCACGGAGGGUGGGGCGGGAUGGGACGGCACGGAACGAGCCCAGCCUGCUGCGCGCUCUCCGUGCUCCCAUUGGCUGCCGCCCGCGAGGCCGAGCGGCCGCGGUGACCGUUGCGCCCCCCUGCGGCGGGGAGGGCUGCUGCAGCCCGGCACCUGGGACGGCCGUUAGGCCGCCAUGUUGCCCGCGACGGGACAGGGGCUGCCCCGACAUCCCCAACCGCCCGGCGGCUUUUGUACUUUGUUUCCAGUCAGUAGUAGCGGUCCUGUUGUCUCCAAGACGUCUCAGUACUCUUCUCAUUCGUAUUGAGAUGGUGAUUUUCUUCAGAGUCUUUGUUAGACAAAGAGUACGGAGAGCUAUACAUAAUUUGUUACUAGCUUAUACGUGUAUGCUGUUAAUUGUUUAACUUCUCCUCCUUUAAUUCUCUGUUACUCGGGUCCUGUCUAUCCAAAGCCAAAAGCUAGUAGUUUUCCAGCAUCAAGGGGUUUCUGUUUUGUAAAGAUAUCUAUUACAUCUAACUUGCCUUUAACUGAAGGCUCAGAAGUUUUUCAGAUGGCUGGACAGACAGAAGCUCGUCUUUGUGCUUAUAACUUACUCCAUCUACCUAAUCUCUAUGGAUAUAUAUCAGAGAACCCUGAUAAAGUAGAAAGACCCCUGAAAAGAGCUAUUAAUUCUAAUAAAGGACCCAAAUGGUAGCAGAGGCCAUGAAAUUAACAAAAUUCUUAUCUUGUUCUGAUGCAGAAACAACAUUCAGUUCCCACAGGUGUGGGAAUUAGCUCACGGCUAAGGGAAGGAUUUUGCUCAGUCAGAAUUUUACAGGAAUUUACAAAGGCUAACACGUGGAAGUUUAUUUCCAGUGAUUUCUUUUGAGAUAUGCAAAGAGUUUGGCACAUUUAGACUGAAGUCUAAAUCUUCAGGUUGCACAUGCUGUGUUCCAGUAUACGAAAGUGUUGCAGAAAAUGAGCCCAGAUAAAAGGUCCUGAUGUGCUGGCUGAGAAAUCCCCAGGAAAUGAUCACUUGCCAGAUUUUGCAGACACACAGCUUCGAAGUUGAAACCUCUCUUACUGUCAUCAGGAUAAUUCGCAAUGAAUGUCAUACUUCGACUGCCAACAGCUGUGUGAAGCUGGCACAGGACUCGUGGAUACCUUUGUUAACCUGGGUGCUGUUCCCAGGGCAUCCAAAGCCACUGCAGCUGCCUCUGAAGUGCUCCUGUUGUGGCUGUUUGGCCCCCAGGACCAGCAAGAUCUACCACGGUGCUGGCAUUCACUUUGAUGACAGCUGCUGCACUUCAAUGAAUUUUACAAAUGGUGAACUAAGACACUGCCCCACAGUAUCUCCUAAAUUGAGACUUAACGAAGAAGAGAGUGGGGGAAAGGAUCCAGAAGGCCACGAGACCCUGAGGACGUGUCUUACCUUUGGGCUGCUUUAAUUCAUGAAAUACAACGAUGUCAUGAGGAUUAUUGAGAUUUUCUGCUAAAACAGAGAUGUCCAAGCCACUCAGCCUGUUGGCACUGAAGAUUGCUUCAUUCUCCAGGUCAGUCCAGAACACUCUGUCCUGCAGGAAAUACAAAGGAUUUCUGACCUUACCCUGCUCAGUUCCAAUUCAAGCUGGACUAAACUCUGGUAGUCACAAAAUCAAUGUGCUGCUUUCCUGUGCUGGGAUAACUUUGGUUUUAUGGUACUUCUAUGUGCAGCUUUUUUCUUUGGCAUGUUUAAAAAGCACAGUACUCCAACAGUGUUUAGGAGUGCUCAGUAAUUUGGAGUAGCUGUGAGACUGAGGAAGCAGGAAUUCAGCUACAUCCAAAUUCUGGACCUUCUGGGAUGUUCCUGCACCUUUUUUGAUUUUUUAAAAAUGGGAGUAAGAAGAGCAUCACAAGAAUCUACAAUCAUACAAGAAUGCAAUUGGGUUUUUAAGUUCAAGUAGGGGCCAGAAGCCUGAUUUGUGAAGAUAGGCAUAUAUCUCUGUAGGAUCAGAGCUUAGUUUUUUGGACAGAGACAUUGCUCUGAUGUGUGGCAGGACUUGUGUGUCAGAACGGCAGCAGCUGAAGCUGAAAGAGAACUAUCUGCCUUCCUGAACCAGGUGAACAAAUAACUUUUUAAUACCAAAUCCCCAACUUGGCAACGCACUGGUGCACAGUGACUGCAGGGGGAGCCCUGCGAGCGCCUGGCACACAUAUUGCCCACUGGAGCCUUCAGACUCCUGCCACAGGUCAAAAUGUUUGAGGACACUUCUGCAGAUGUUGAGAUGGCCAGAGGACAGUGCAAGCAAUCAACCCCUGGACUUACGGGGCCAUCCUCCCUUGAGGAUUCUGUUAGCACUGGAAAAUGCAGCACAAGCAUGCAUGUGAAACAAAAAUGCUGGGAAUAACAGAGGGCAGCUGCCCUGAGCCCAUGCAGCUCCCCUUGAAGUCUGACUUAUCCGAAGGCAGACACAGGACGUGCUGCAGUGUCACUCAGUGAACGGCUGCCCCACUACUGAUCUAGCAAGUGGUUUCUCCUGUCCCUUGUUAACAGUUUCGGCCUUUGCAUGGGCAGUUGGCUCAGUUCACCUCAAGGGAAAGCCAUGACUAUUUUGCAGUCCCGUGGGAGCCAUAAUUCUAAUAAGCUCUGCCUGCCCCUCAUGGAUUCAUUUGUAAUACAUUAGGUAAAAGCAUGAGGCAACGCAUCGCUCCUGAUGAGGGGCUUUAGAAAACUACUUUCCCAGCUGAACCCACACCAGGUUAAUCGGUUUCUAUAGCAGCAAACGCCCUCACUGAGCUUUCUGCGCUAUGCAAAAGGCAAAGCUUUCAAUCACGAAGAGCUUUGAGACCUCUUGCAGUCUCCAGGCUGUUCUCACCCCAUCUUGACUCUUACCUCAAACACUGCUAAGCCGAACGGAUGGCUCAGAUCAUCAACGGAAGAGAUCAGAACUUUUCUGUUGCUGCCAUUGAAAUCAAUGCAGGAGAGUGAAUGCAAUUUGGAGUCCACCCAGUAGAGACGCUGAUUCAGCAAAUCUGAGAAGUAAAACACAAUGAAACAAAAUUACACACAGCUUCUGCAAUUCUUUUUUACUUCCCAGCAUUUUUUCCCUGCUGGCAGCAUGACUAAUCUCUUUAUUAUUAGGCUUCUAAAAGUUUUUUUUCAACACUAGUUGUGAUUUUGACUCAGUGCCCAGAUAUGCUAGGAUAAGACCUUAUAAGUAAGAUUAAAAAGGAGAAACAUUCUGGGGGGUGUCUGUGUGUGUGUGAGAAUGAUGGACUGACAGUGUUGUUUUGCUGCCAGGAGGAGCAGGCCAGCCACACUUUGGGCUUCCCAGAGGUGCUCCUUCAGGGCCACUCAGCCCUAUUUAGUUGUUGGCCUCUUGCUGGAGAGUAACGACUGGGAUUCAAAUGACAUCCUUCUGAUGGAGCUGCGUGAUUAACACAUCUUCAGUGAUGAAGAAUGCUGGGUUCCAGAAAUCCUUGUGCUGCAGGCUGAGGGAAUGGCAGUGGUGGGAACUUUCCGCCCCAGACCAGACAGAUUUUGGAGAGGGUGCAGGUAAAAGUGGGUGGGAAGGGCUCAGUGUUAUUUAGAAUGCUGUGAACUGAAUGUCUCUUCCUGGAGCAGAUCCACUUAUUUUGGAUGAGAUUCACUAAACUGAAUGCAAGUGGAUAAGUGCCAACAAAAAACAAAUUCUGUAAUAAAACAAGCCAUUAAUUAAUUUCUUAAUUACUAAAGGAUAACAUUAUUUGUUCACAGCAGUAGCACUUCAACAAUAUGCAGUGGUAGUAACAUUUUCUCUUACAUCCUUUUAUAGACAGAAUUUUCAAACAUAAAACCAAGCACAGAACCUCACACCUGCGUGGUGCUAAAUGUGGAUGCCUUUAACUUGGCUGUGUUUGCCUACUUAACAAGAAAUUUACAUUAGCCACAGUGGAUCCUGUAGCUGUGACCCGCCUGCUUACCAAGCGUGAUGCCGUUUGGCCACUCAAUGUUGUCAGACACCAGCACUUGCCGCCCCACACCAUUGAGGCCUGCUUUCUCAAUCUUCGCUUUGUCUCCCCAGUCAGACCAGUACAUGAACCUAAAAGAGAUGGAUGCAAGGAGACAGUAAAUUGGACCAAAGGGUAAGAAAUGUAAACUACUGAUCGGGGAGGGAGUUGCAGUGCUCUCUGCUUGAUGUUGCAAAGCCCCUCAGUCACUUCAGUUUAUCUUGAUACACAUUUAGUGGAGCUACUGUGGUCCUAUCCCACAGGUUAGCCUGCCACAGAACAUGCACCAGAAUAUAAAACCCCAAGCUAUCUCCCGGUGUCUGUGGUCUAUCUGUAGACCUCACUUAUCCCACACUCCGGUCACACUUAUGCUAUUUCCCAGCAUAACCUGUGUGCCUGAGCUCAGGUCCACCUGACCCACGACCUGACAAUUUUCAGAACUUUCUCUGACAGCAGCAGCCAUGCAAAGAUUUCCGUGAGCCUGCUCCUUGAAACAUAGCAGUCCUAUGUAAGCUCUUACAGAGGCCCUUAUCUUUAAACAUGUAAGUAAAUCCAUUAGGAUUUAAUUUAUGGCACAUGUGAUGCACAUGCGUUUUGUGAGAGGCAGAAAGAAGACUGGAAUUCCAUCAGAAAAGCACGAUCAUUUCCUUUUCACACUCACCUCCGUGUGGGAUCAACAGCAAUGGCUCUCGGCUCACUGAGGUCACUGUUAAAAAGUGUCCUCCUCCUGCUCCCGUCUGCAGUGGCCACUGAGAUAGUCUUGUUUCCAGAAUCUGUCCAGUAGAUGUUCUUAUGAACCCAGUCAAUCGCCAGCCCUUCAGGAGAGUUUAGCUGGCUGUCUAUGAGAAUCACCUGCUCCGCUGUGUCGCUCGCUUUGUCUAUGUAGGCACUGCAGAGACAACAUUUGUCACUGGGCUGACACAUGGCACAGAGAAGGCUGUACAGAUGGGCUGGAGCUCAGGAAGGGCUGAGUGCUGGCAGCAUCACUCCAACACCACGGGAACGAAGUGCACAUGUGGCAAGACAACUGACAGAGAAACCUUCACCGUUGUGUACUGUAUCCUGCUGCUUUCUCCUCCACCUUGGUCUUACCUCUAUAUCUGGAUGGCAGGCGUUUGCAGGACAGGGAACUGUUAUUUUAUGUUUCCACCAGCUUCCUGCUACAACAUCUGACUUAGGGCACAUUAACUUCAGUAGUACCAUUUAAUGGGAUUUAUGGACAUUGGAAAUCUUAUAAUCUUCAGCGCUCUGCCAAACAGAGUUGAAUUUAGCAUACAAAUAAAUGUGCUUAAGUGUGUUGCAGAAUUAGGACCUGUGUAACUAAUUUUAAUUCAUCAAAGGGAUUCAUGAAGCUAUACUAAUUUGGCAAGUGAUCUCUUGUUAGAUACAAAGAAAAUCUUCACUUAAUGUCAGCCUUUGGUUUCUCUCUGACCCAACACCAAAGGAAUGGUGCCAUUAGGGGUUCUGCAGAGCAUAUGGCUCUGGUUCCCAAGCUGCUGUUAUUUUGGUCUGAUGAGCACCACACGUUCUGACUGUGCAGUUCCAGCCCAGCUAAUUCCUCCCUAGUGAAACAGCGGUGUUCACACCUUCAACCAACAUGGCGCUGCUCACACUGUCCUGAGCCAUGAGUGUGACUCGAUGCACUGGUGGAGAAACCAAGGAGCUCCUGGGGCUUCGAGAAGGUGGAAAUACAGAAGUGACAUUCUGAUUCUCCUACGAACUAAAUACAGUAAAAUAUCUUCUAACACCCUGAUGGGGACAACGCCUCAAUGGCAGAAAGAGAAGUAAAGUGAGUGUCAAGAAAGAGGGGAUCUCUAGACUGCUGUUACCCACAGGACUCCUGCAGUGGACUCCUCUGUUGGAGGCAUAUGGUGGCCUUCUCUUUGGAAGUGCUUGAUAUUAGCGAUAUUAGCAGCACCUCCAACAGCAGCAUUAAUUGUUAAGAAACGAUGGUUACACAGCCUGCUCUGCGGAAAAGAUAGGACUCAAAAUAAAGCUAAUGCAAGCAGGACUGAGAAAGAUAAAAAUUCUGCUGUUUGGAAAAGGAACCAGGCUUGGUACAGUCAUACUUAGGGUAUGAACACUGCUCGGGGCUCUCAGUCCCAGGGCAUUAACUGUCAGAGAGCUGCAGAAGGAGCAGUGUGUCUUAAAUAAUUCUGUCUGCUCUUACCCACCCUGCCCAAGACUGCAGGAUCAGACACAGUGGAAGCAGCUCGCUGCUGAGCCACCUCCCCGUUUCCAGGGCCACGAAGGGCUGCUCAGGGUACCUGCCCAGCUACUUGAGUGCUUAAUAAUCAGGACAACCUGAGCAAAUUUCCCUGCCAGUGGCAUGAGAGCUAGCAUAGCCUAAAAAAACUUCAGCUUGGCUCCUAUGCACUGAAACCAAUCAACCUUUUUGUCUGAUCAUUAGCUAAAAUCCAAAACAAAUUGCUGUUGAAGCUGUAAUAGGGUGCAAUAGCUAUGCAAAUCAGAAUAUACAUGAGGAAUUUUCAGUGCAUAAAUGAAAUGCAUUUUUGACUGGGCACUCGUACAAGCUCCAGUACAUAAUAAUUGUGAUGAAUGUAUAAAAACAGCUGAAAUGAAAAGGGAAACAGAAAUUACAGGAUAUGAAACGUGGUCUGUGGUCAAGUGCUGUGGAUUUUCAUCUAGUCUAGCAGAGCCUCCAGUGGUCAGUCAAUAUCCUUGCUUCCACCACUUGUCUCCUUUGUGCCUUCAGACGCCAAGUCCUUUGUGGUUUCACAUACAAGAAGCACACAGCACAGCAGCAGCCUCACUUGGCAAUAUGAUCAUUCAGUAAACAAGAGUCCACGUGUAAUUGCACAAAUGCAGUGGGGUCUAUUACUGAUGGAAAGCCUUCCUGCAUUUUCAAGCCAAGUAGCUGCACAAACCCCUGAUUUCUUUAUCAAUUCCUGAAAAACUUACAAAGUCUGGGCCACAACAGGUAAUGCAAAGGGAAGAAAAGCCCUCAGGUUCGCUGCAUCCUGUGUUGUUCUCUGCAUAUCGUCCUUACAGAGUACAAACUGAAGCACAGCUUUAGAGAGGUACCAAAACACACAUUCUGUAUUAGCCCUUACCUGUAGAUUUUUCGGUAGAACAAAUCACACCAGUAUAUUCUGUUUGUUGCCACCUCCACAUCCAGCGCCACGACAUUUUUCAGCAUGGGAAUGAUGCGAGAAUAGUCCCUUUUCACCAGGUCUAUCUUGCGGACCUCGUGGCGGUUGGUGAAGAUCAGGUAGGGACUCUUUCCUGACACAGCAAAAAGUGCAUUUGUUAUUUUAGCAGCUGACCCGAGGGCUGGAUACGUUCUUUCCUCAAACAACAACAAAGUGAAGAGCAGUAAGUCAGGGAUCUGCUUUGUGCCAGCAGCAGGUCUAAGUGGCUUCUGGCCAAAUGUAGGCAGCUAACAUACAGAUACAGGGCACAGCAUCCCUGUCACCCAGCCUCUGGGGAACGUCCUCACUUUCAAUUAUACAUUUUAGAUACAAAAUCCAGGGGCUGGAUUUCAGUGAUUCAUGGUCAGGACAAGGAAGAGAAAGCCCUCCCGGCUGUCUGGAGGGAAGGCAGGCAGCCAGACCAAGGUAUGGCAGAGCCACACUGAAUCCAGCAAAGCCAGGAACUCGUUGCUAGGAAGGCGUUUUAGGCUGUCACAUACAUGCAAGACCUUGCACUAUCCAACCAAGCACGUGGGCUCACACAGCUCACAUCUCUUCUUUGUGGGCCAGAGCCUGCAGCCUGGGUGCUGGUCAAACUGUAACAGCAGUCAUAUUCUCAGGCCAGCCCAGGCCACAGCCUCUCAGAAAGGCUGCAAUCCCUCUGACAUUAACAUUCAUUUUUGCAAUAAGCCCAAGCAAGCUGAUGGUGUUCACGUUGGUAUCUGUGUAUGAGGCUGGGCAGGUGGAGAGGUGGUAACCUACCAUGUUUUAAUUGGGUUGUUUUCUUUUAACAUGACUACCAGUAAAUAUUUUUUUCUGUGCUGUUUUUAGUGAAACCUGUCAAGAGGCUUUCUUUUCAAGUUUCAGCUUCUAACAGCCAACUAGUGAUUAUAAUCUCGCUCUGCACACCGUUAAAAUAUUCUGAUCUGCACUAUCAGUAGUUCUUGCCUAGAGACACAUCUGCUAUCACUGCAGUAGUUCCAUGCUGCUUGAAAUUAAUGCCUUUGCUUGCUAGUUAACUUCUGCCUGUUCCCGUAGGCUCAGCCCUGCAAGUGUGUUUUCUUACCAGAGCUGUGAUGUUGAGCAGUCAGAGUUUAAGAGCCUGUCAGGCUGCCUUACCUACAGCUUUGCAGUUCUUGGACAGGGUGUCCAUCUCGUAUCCCUCGUAGCACUCACAUUUGUAGUCCCCCUUGUAAUUAAUGCAGAUCUGGCUACAAGCGUCUGGAUUCUCACAUUCAUCUAUGUCUGAAAGGAGUGUUUGAAACCCAUCAAUAACUUGAAAUCAAACCAUCUGUGAUGGAGCAAUGCUGAAGUGCAUAUAAUCAUGUCUCUGUAUGGUGAAACACAAGGGACUGCUGUUUGCAUGUAAAUUACCUCCACACGUUUUUUUAUCCAGAAGCUUGUAUCCGGGCGGGCAUUCACAUUCGUAGCCUAUCUUCAAGUCUUUGCAUAUGUGUGAGCAGCCACCGUUGUUCAGAGAGCAUUCGUUAAUACCUGGAAGAGGCAUACACGUUCUCUGUGGUAAAGGAGGGGUUCUACUCAUAAGACUGAAUAAAAUUAAGAAAGGGCAAACUCAAAUUUUCCCAUAGCUACCAGCUUCUGGUAACCAGGCGUUGGCCACGUAGAGCGUAUGAGUGACUUCAGAGAAAGGAAGCCAUCACCAUAUCUCUUCCUUGCUCUUUAUUAUUCCAAACCAACGCUGCUGGGAUCAGUUGGACUGAAAACUAGUGGCUAAAUGAGGAGGGAGCCCUGGGAACACAGCACCUGUGCAUCUGUGCACAUCUCAUCCGUCAGAAACCCACUGCGUUGAGCAUGUUCUGCCGGAUGGGAGGCAUUUCCAAGGAACCUAAUGGUGUUCUCCAGGAGAUGAGUCCUUCCCCAUGCACGGGUUAAUGUUGACUUCUCUGAACAGUCUCUUUGAGCUUUAAUAAUUCAUGCUGGGGGAGUCUCAUGUCCCAGAGGCCAGCUGUUUUGAACUACUGUACUAUUUACCCAUCUAGCACCAAGGAAGGAUCUGAAUGACAAUUCCAGCAACGCCUGAGUUGCAGCAGCCCAAGUGUGCAGUCCAUGGAACAACAGCCCCCCAUCCCCUCCUGGGCCUCUGCCUAAUCCAAGGCCAGCUUCUCUGAUCCUGCUUUCAAGAGCUGAAAUGAAAAAUAGACUAAAUGUGUCUUUUUAACUAGAAUUGAAUGAGAGAUGGAAGAAAGCUGAUUUUCUGCCAGAAAUAACAUUUCUUCUUGUUGUAAUUAACCUUUAGAAGGUGAAGAGAAAGUUUUCUCCAUAAGGUUACUGUACAGAAGCUGUGGGAUUUCAUGGGUAGUGGGUUCAGUGGAACAAGCAAAACUGAUUUACUUCAUUUUUUAAUGCAAUUUAAAGGCAAAAUUUUCAUUUAUCUUUUACUUCUUGCUUCCUUGCAUGACGCAGGUGAGCAGUGCAGCACAGCCAUUAAACCACUGCUCUUGAAAGAAAAUGAAAACAACCACAAGCCAGUUAAAGUCAGUAGGCUAGGAAGAUACCAUGCCAGAGAGCCCCAUCCCAGCUCUGGGAUGCCUUCACCUUCCUAUCAGAGACACGCAUGUACAUAGGUAUCAAUAAGUUAUUAACAGAGCAGGUUCACUGGGCCCCAGGAAAGUGUCUGUGAAGUCACACUGUGUGUUGGCACUGUUCAGUGAUGUUUAUUAAUUGAUAUCACCUAUUCCUGCACUUGCACAGGCCUCUAGCAAACUCCAUCAUAUCCAUGCACAACUGCUCUUUGCAAAACACGACAAAAACUGUUUUAACUAACAAGCAAGCUCUCAUGUAAAUGUAAAUGUAAAUGUAAAUGUUUCCUCUGGUUUCAGAGGCGCUUUGUGGAAUAAUUUUGGAGACUGUAAAUCAGGUGUUGGCUCACUUGCUGCACUUCUCAACAGGAGCUGAGGAGGAACAGGCAGAGACUGCAGCCUGCUCUCUGCUGGACAGCUGCUGCCCACUACCCAAACUUCAGCAUCAUAUCCACUGCCUGCUUAAAGUGAGACAAGUGAUGCUCUGCCUCUUCAGUGCUUUUCUAGGGAAUCUUGAAGGGCAAUGCAAAGGCAAACAUGCAGCUGUACAGACACGCUGAGCUGAGGAGAAUACCCUGCAUCUCCUGGGCUGCUGUGCAGAUUACCUGUGGCUGCAUGUCAAAAUUCACAGCAGUCAUCAUUCUGCAGUCUUAAAGAAGAAUGUCUCCUUUGGAGACUAUUCUCUGCACAGCUUCCUAACUCAAAUGGCACUCAGCUGCCAGCCUAGGACCACAACAAGGCAGUCACAGCACCAUGGUUAAGGCUGAGCGCAGUCUCCUCUGCCAACUGGGCUGCUGGCUUUGAGUGAGACCUCCACAGGCAGACAAGUUGCAACACCCACUCAGAAAGACAGGGAGAUGUGGAUUAGUGCAGAAGAAAGCAAGGGUGUUCUGAAAGCACAGGGUAAGAGCAUCCUUUGCUGGGAAUUCACACACUUUUUGUCCAGUACAGAGAAGCCAACAACUCUCCCUGAACAGGAGAUAUUUAAGCUGCAGGCACAGAGCUCCAUGCUACUGGUGCUCCAUGAAGUCGUGGAAAGGGACACCACAGCAGCCUGUCUGAGGCAUUUCUGCCCCUGGGGAAGAACCAAUGGUGUGGCAGUGAUGCUCUAAGUUGGGGCUGGCACCCACAAUGCCUGGUGAGAAAAGACAGAGAGGCUCAGCUCCCCAACCUGCAGCUUUCUGUUCUGCUGACUCCCACAGCCCAGGAGCAGACCAGGCUCUCACGGCCUGGUUGUUCUCAGCAGCCCACAGCCAGCAGGAUGCUGCAGACAGCAACUUAAUGUCAUUUCUGGAGGAUGCAGCAACAAACCCAGCAGUGGCUGAAGUCACUGCUUAGUGGAUGCUGCCACUCACUGUGUGCUUUCAUCUUCGAAGCAUGUUACCAGUGCUAAACCUUCAUGGCGUUUUGUUCAUCUUUCAGUUAUUCACAGGUAAUUUUUGGCAGGAAGGCCAAAUAAACUGGUCAGUGCUGUGGAGGACCCCAAAGUCUGGGAAGAGGGGGAAUUCCUGGUUGCUAGUCCUGUGCUCAGCUGAAACAUCCCUCCAAGGUUAAAAGCUGAACUGAGAAGGGCACAGUUCACACUGGCAGAUGAUCAGACCGGGCUACUAAUUAUAUUCAUGUGAAGGGUGAAGAGAGAAUAAAGGCAAGGAAAGAGAAGCAGAGUGAGAAAUAGCAUUAGCAGCUACAUGUGGUUACACUCAAAGCUGUGAGCACCAGAUGGAGGAGAGGGGAAGCAGUUACAACAGGAGCAACACGUAGAAGGCAAGUACUGUACCACAUUCUUUCAGAGGCUCGUCAGACCAGUCCCUGCAGUCUCUAUGUAAAUCGCACACUUUGCCUCCGUCAAUGCACUCUCCACUCUUACACUGAAACUUGCUGGGACUUUCACAUGCUGACUCUGUCAUGUCGGGCAAGAGAGGAAAGCAACUAAGUUAGGUGAGGCUCAAGACAACAAAAAGCCAGACACAGAGCUUCAAGAAGGUGUCAUUAGCAGAAAUGGGAUGAGAUUAAGCAAAUGAACAUUAAAGAUUGAGUAUGAUGCGAGGAACUUUUCAAGACGUGCAGUCUGCCUGGCCAGCACAAUCAUCUCUCCCAAGCAACCCCACUGCCAGAACGGCUUACAGCUCUGCAGGAAGCAGCCUGUCGUGGCACAGAGGAGCAACGCAGGCCUUCUCCUUCUGCAGUGGCCACAGAGCCCUUGCAGACUUACAAAACUGAGCACAAAGAACGUAGUGCUGUUCUGAACGUACCUUGGACACAGCCUGCCUCGUCACUGUUGUCAGGACAGUCGUGCACUUUGUCACACUGCUUUGCUCCAUGGAUGCAGGUCCCAUCCCCGCACUGGAAUUCAUCCGGUCUGCAGGUCACCAGAGCUUUAAAAAAACACACGUAAACGUUAUCCACACAGCACUUGAACUUUUUGUGUGGUACUUUUUAUCUGACACUGCAGGAGCUUUGCGCCCUCCUUCAGAAGGAUCAACUGCUUCCACCAAAGCAACAGGCAGCAGCUACCUCAGGCACUGCCCCGUGCCCCCCAACAUCCCUGACCACCCUCUACCAUCCUUGUAUUUUAAGAUACAUUUUAAAACACGUUCAGCCUAAGGUCAAAGGCAAGACACAUGUAUGCUGCAUCUGCUACAGCCAACGUGGUCACGCCAGGGUGAAGCGAGUGACAGAUGUGGUCAUUUGGGUCAAUGAAUGCCCGUGAGCCGACCACAGAGCCUGGAAGGCACAACAGCUCCACUGCCCCAUGGCUUGGUGCUUCUUGGGUUUACAGGCCAGAAACAUCUCCAAAAGUGUCAGGUCAGAUUUCAAGCCUGAUGCUCAUUUGCCCUGUUGCUGUUAUUACACUCAAAAGAGAUCUGAUGAACAGCAAAAUUGGGGAAAAAAUAGAUCAGACUGCUGCUCUGAUCAUGCUAAAAGCAGCCGCAUUUCCCUCCUCAAGGUUACACUGAGACCUUCCCAGAUGGGAUCUGACUUGCACUGACAGAGCCAACAGGCACUGGCUAGCCAGCAAAGGGCUGCAGCCUGCAGCUCACUGGUAAAAAUAGGCUCCUCGUUCCUGAGGCACGUUACGUGGCUUAUUUCUAAGGGGACUAUCUUCCAGAUGUUUUGUUAAAAUCCUGUUAAGGCAGCACACCCUGGAGAGCUCUUGAUUCUAACCUUUCCAUCUUGCUGAUUGCAGCCUGGUACCAUAUGACAGAAAAUCACUGCCUCUGAAUAGCUGGAGGAGGUCAGCACUGAUGUUCCUACAUGGGAGGCGAGAGCCACGUGGCAGACCUUCCUUGACAAUUUGACAAACUGCCUCUAAUACAAAAAUUACUACUUUCAGAUAACCCAAGAAGAGCCACAGAUACGAAGUGGGUUAGUGUCGAUAUCAUGAAGUAUUAGUAUGCCUAAAGGCUCAGCAUUAUUGGUGAUAGCAUCCCAUGGGAUGCAGGAUCCAGAUUCAAAACUGCUGGACUAAGCCCUAAGUGUCUGCAGGCAUUGAAAGGUGUGAAAGACAGGAAAAGCUGCAAUUGCAGUGCCUGUGCUGGAGGAGGGAAAUCCUGCCUUAGAAACACACAGUAUUCACAGGAGAAAGGUUACAAAAUAGCACUGCUCCAUGGAGAGGAAAGCCAUGUGGACUACAGUCAGAAAUAGCUGCAAAGCAAGAAUAAAACCACACGCAAUAAGAGCGGUUAUGGGACCAGCUGUGUCAGUGUAUCUGCUAACAAACCCAGAUACAGAAAUGCAAAACCUCAGCAGGACAUCCAGCAGCUCCAAACCAAGCACCUGGGAACUGCUCUUCUAACAAAGGAGAGGGGGACGUGAAACUGUGGUCUGGGAGAACCACAGACCUCAGGUCUGCAGGGAGGCUAGGGCACUUCUGUCUGAACCAUUCACUUCCCUGGCAGAAGCCCUGAUGGUGGAGAGACCCUGUAAUGCAAUCCCAGCUUCUUCCAAGCUAAACCUUGGCCAUUGCAAACCUUUUCCUAAUGCCUAGCCUCACAUUCCCCUGCUACAACUAUUUCUGAUCUUCACCUCCCAACAUGGGAAAGUUUACCCUUUCUGUAGCAACUUCUGUUCUGUGGAGACAGGAUGGGGUGGUCCUCCAUUUUUGGCUACAGGUAUUAAUUUUCUGCAAAUAUGCUAUACACAAUUAAAGCCAGCAGGAGCCUGGCCUGUCCUGGGGCAGAAGUUUCCAGUUUAUGAAGUAAACCUGCAAGGCAAUGGCUGCAGAUUGGGAAGGCUCAGCUAGUAAAGGGACUGCGAAACACAGAUGUGGGACUGUACAACAUCUGCACAAAGCUCCUUCUUCACCAAGAGUCAGAGGACUGGAGACCGGGCUUGGUUUCCUGGCUUGCUUCUUGUUCCAGCAGAGCUGUGGAAAUUCAGACCUUUGAGAAAUGGCCCUUGAGCCUCUUCAUGAACAUCCGAAAAGAGCAGAUACAGUGACAGCUCUUACUGAUCACACAGAUAAGUGACCGGCUUGAACAGUUUUUGUGGCUAAAACUGGAUGAAGCAUUCAAAACACCGUGCACACCAACAACACCAUGUUAAAUGUAUCAAGCCAGCUGAAAAGAAAUCCAUUAUUUAUUAGCUCUGUGCCUGUAACAGCCAAGCUCAAAGUGCAUUUCAAACUGGAUUAUUCAGAGGUGCUGCCUUGCUCGGUAUACUCCAACUUCAGAGGUAGAAAAUUAAUUAUUUUUUUUUCUGCUGAUCAUAUAUUCCCUUUAGCACUGUGGCUUCUAACCUGCAGGGCUGUGACCCCACCACGUAGCCUGAGGGCUUUAAAAAUGUCUCCUAUUUCCUCCACUUCUAGUGAAACAGAUCUUCUCUGAGGCACGGUGCCAUUCAACAGCUCUCGCAGCCCCUCUCCGAAUCCUGACAGAGUAACAGAAUAGUCUGGAAUACACCGAAUGCUGCUGGGCUGAGCACCCGGCCAUGCCUUGGGACACAAACGCUCCUUGGCAGACAGGUGCUGCACAGACAAUUUGCAACGAAGCCCUGCCUGAAAACACAGCCCAGAGGGGCUGCCCUCCCCACCAAAGGAGAAUCCCCAGCCCUGCCCACACUCACGGCAGUCCUGCUCGUCAGAUUUGUCCUUGCAGUCUUCGUCCCCAUCACACUUCCAGUUAAGGAGGAUGCAUUCGCCAUUGCCACACUGGAACUCGUGAGCAGCACAGGUGUUGAAGGCCUUGGCAUCAUAGCCACACCUCUCUAUGGACUCAUCCGAAUGGUCCUCACAGUCUGCCUGGUUGUCACAGACCCACAGCUGUGGGAUGCACACGCUGUUGUUGCACUGGAACUCAUUGGGGCUGCAGGUCAGAGGGGAGCAUUUCUUUUCAUCACUGCCAUCACCACAGUUGUUGUAACCAUCACACACGAAGUUGAUGGAGAUGCACGUCUUGUUACUGCACUGGAACUCAUCAGGAGAACAAGCUUGGGGAAAAACAAACAAACAGGUGAGCUGUGAGGUCUCCUAUCUACCCCUCUGUCACCACACUGGCUUUAGCACAUGACAUGUAUCUGAGUCAGGAGAAGGGCACAAAUGUAUUACCUUGGCUGUCCUAACCCAAAACUGCUUUCCCAAUGGUAAACUACAUAGCAAGGAAAAGGCAAAGAUGCACGGGACACCUUCACGGCUGUGCUAUGGAGUGCACCCUGCCCCCAGCACUGUCCAGGAGUGAGCUGACCCAAGCUGGGAGCUCAGCUCACACUUUCCCACCACCCCUCUGGGCCACGGGCAACCCUGCAGAAGAAUGGGCAGCAGGUAAAAUGGGGGGCAACUGCAGCACUGCCCUGGUGCUGGGGCUCCCUUUUGUAUAAGGAGGCAUAGGCAGAGCUGGAGGAGCAGUGGUGGGCGCUGGGGGCUCACACAGUGCUGAGCUUUGCUCCAUGCUGACAUUAGCAGCUUCCUGGCUUUCACAAGCACAGAAUCAGGUUUGAGGAUUUCACAGUGUGCCUGGUUUUGGACAUAUUAAGUGGGAUGUGUAGGGUAAAUAUUUAGUGAGGCGAGCAUCAAUUUAGCUGCAAUCUGCCAGUAAGGCCCUUUACAACACACUGAAAGCCUUCCCUAGAAAUCACAACUCAACAUUAACACACAAAUGAGACAUUUGUCAGAUAUGAUGCUGAGUGCUGAGUGGUGUACUCUUGCUUGCAAGCCUGAUGGACAGCUGCACCAGAGAAGCCUGCUGGAAUUAAAAUUUCAGGUACUCCAACAACGUGCACUUGGCAGCCACUUUGUCUCAUCAAGUUAUGGGGGAACCAGGACUCUGAAAUACAUUUGCUCUAAGUGCUUUUAAUUAAAGCUAAUUUCGUCAGUUAUUUAAAAAGAAUUGAAUAUGUAUCUGCUUCUGCCCUUCCAGGCACGUAUAGAAAAGUUAUGCAUUUUAUAAAUUACAAUAAAUAUAUAUAAAUAAAUUAC